UCAGUUAGGCAUCUGACUCUUGAAUUUGGCUCAGGUCAUUAUCUUGGGUUCGUGGGAUAGAGGCCCACAUUGGGCUCGCCCACAGCAGGGAGUCUGCUUGUCCCUCUCCCUCUCCCCCUCCCCACCCCCACAUACACUCUCUCUCUCUAAAAAAUAAAUAAAUAAAAUCUUAAAAAAACCCAACAAGUGGGUCCCCCUGUGAGAAGUGGCAAUAAAUAAACCGAUGUGGGCAGAGUAGGCAGGCAACAGGAGUUGCCUGGAUUUUGUUCAUCAGAAAGAUGGGAAGCACCAAACAGAGGCCUGUGGGAAGGCAAUUCUUAAAAGAAGAAAUAGAUGCGGCCAAUAAACACAUGAAAAUAAAGUUCAAUCUUACUGGUAAUAUCAAAAUACAAAAGAAAGCAAUUUUCACCUAUUUUCAAAGAUUUAAAAAGACAUGAACACGUUGGGAAACUGGACGUCUCAUUCAUCAUUGGCAGAGUAUAAACUGUUUGAUCUUUUUUUUUUCCUUUUAAGAUUUUAUUUUUCAGUAAUCUCUACAUCCAACGUGGGGCUUGAACUCACAACCCCGAGAUCAGGAGUCACAUGUUUCCCCAACUGAGCCAGCCAGGCACCCCUAAACUGUUCUGGUCUUCCUGGAGGAUAAUUUGGUACGAGCCACUUACAGCUCGUACCACUCACAUAGGCUAUUCUGCCCCUUGGUGUAGUUACUCUGGUCAGAGCAUUUUUGGUUGUAAACAACAGAAACCAACUCAGACUAUCUCAAGAAGAAGAAAAAGAAGAAGGACAAGGAAGGGAGAAGAAGGAGGAGAAGGAGAAAGAAUGGUAGCAGGGAGGGUUUGCCUAAAAUCCUCUGGAUGGGCUGCACUUUCAUGGUCAAAGCUAGCCAGAAAGCAGAGGGCAAGGAAGCCUCUUGGGAUAGACCACUGGUAGCUCAGCCUCCUGAAUCUCAGAGCAGGGUGGAGACGGCUGGAGAGUGGAGCUGGAGAGGCCAGUGGAGAAUAUUCUGCAGACUUGUUCUGAAAAAUAACUCCCGGAGUCAAAGCUGUUAUAAGGUAAUGUUCUCAAGAUGGCUGGUUUAUGACCCCCUGUCUCUACUAACAAAUAAAACUAAAGCUGAUGUUCUGCUUCAAGAUGGGGUAUGUGAUAGUUAAUUUUAUGUGUCAACUUGAUUGAGCUAAGGGAUGAGCAGAUAGCUGGUAAAACACUUCUGUGUGUGUCUGUGAGGAUGUUUCUGGAAGAGAAUCAGUAGACUGAGUAAAGAAGAUCCACCCUCUAUUAUGUUGAGUGAAAUAAGUCAAAAAGAGAAAGACAUGUAUCAUAUGAUCUCACUGAUAUGAGGAAUUCUUAAUCGCAGGAAUCAA